UAAAUGAUGUACAUCUUCCAAUUUUCUAUCCACAGAUGGAUGGUCUACCCCACAGAGAGGAUUCUUUACAAAAUUUUCUCUAAGUCCAGGUCUCUGAUGAAAUUCUGGUGCUUUUGUAACUAAAUUAUUGAAGUAUAAGGUCCUGUGUGCCAGAAAGCGUUUAUAGGAGUAAUUGAAGGAUAAGGUCCUGUGUGCCAGAAAGCAUUUAUAGGAGUAAGUGUAACACCUCAAACAUUAUUAUAUGGGAUGGAACUGUUAGGUACAUAGAAGAGUCCUCAUUAACCGGAUCUACAGUUCAAUCAAUGCGCUAUAAUCCAACUGUUUCAAAUUAUUAAUGGGAGACUUUAAAAACCAUAGUUUAUUAGAAAGGUGCAUACGAGACCUUAGAUAUAUUUCCUCUAACUACUGAUCUGUAGCUUGGUAUCUUAAUUUCUUGUACCAAUAAAAUCAUGAAUGCCUAUGUAAAGCAAUUGUUGAGUAAAAUAAUAUGUUAUUGGCUAUCAUAAUAUUAUUCAU
rnacentral:lncRNA from 1 species